rnacentral:pre_miRNA from 1 species
AGGAGGAAACAGCCCAGUGGGCGGGCAAGCUCUGGAGCCCUGGCGUCAGCCCCCGCAGGAACUCCGGAGCUCUCUGUCUGCAGGGCCUGGAGGCUCCGGGGCGGG